UACAGAGGGUGCAAGCGUUAAUCGGAAUUACUGGGCGUAAAGCGUGCGUAGACGGUUACAUAAGUCGGGUGUGAAAGCCCCGGGCUCAACCUGGGAAUUGCAUUCGAGACUGCGUAGCUAGGGUGCGGAAGAGGGAAGCGGAAUUUCCGGUGUAGCGGUGAAAUGCGUAGAUAUCGGAAGGAACACCAGUGGCGAAGGCAGGUCUCUGGGCCACUACUGACGCUGAGAAGCGAAAGCAUGGGGAGCGAACAGG
rnacentral:rRNA from 1 species